AUUGAACGCUGGCGGCAGGCCUAACACGUGCAAGUCGAGCGGAUGACGGGAGCUUGCUCCUUGAUUCAGCGGCGGACGGGUGAGUAAUGCCUAGGAAUCUGCCUGGUAGUGGGGGACAACGUUUCGAAAGGAACGCUAAUACCGCAUACGUCCUACGGGAGAAAGCAGGGGACCUUCGGGCCUUGCGCUAUCAGAUGAGCCUAGGUCGGAUUAGCUAGUUGGUGGGGUAAUGGCUCACCAAGGCGACGAUCCGUAACUGGUCUGAGAGGAUGAUCAGUCACACUGGAACUGAGACACGGUCCAGACUCCUACGGGAGGCAGCAGUGGGGAAUAUUGGACAAUGGGCGAAAGCCUGAUCCAGCCAUGCCGCGUGUGCGAAGAAGGUCUUCGGAUUGUAAAGCACUUUAAGUUGGGAGGAAGGGCAGUAAGUUAAUACCUUGCUGUUUUGACGUUACCGACAGAAUAAGCACCGGCUAACUCUGUGCCAGCAGCCGCCGUAAUAC
rnacentral:rRNA from 1 species